UGGGGAAUAUUGCACAAUGGGGGAAACCCUGAUGCAGCGACGCCGCGUGAGCGAAGAAGUAUUUCGGUAUGUAAAGCUCUAUCAGCAGGGAAGAAAAUGACGGUACCUGACUAAGAAGCCCCGGCUAACUACGUGCCAGCAGCCGCGGUAAUACGUAGGGGGCAAGCGUUAUCCGGAUUUACUGGGUGUAAAGGGAGCGUAGACGGAUCUGCAAGUCUGGAGUGAAAGCCCGGGGCUCAACCCCGGGACUGCUUUGGAAACUGUCAGACUGGAGUACCGGAGAGGUAAGCGGAAUUCCUAGUGUAGCGGUGAAAUGCUUAGAUAUUAGGAGGAACACCAGUGGCGAAGGCGGCUUGCUGGACGACAACUGACGCUGAGGCGCGAAAGCGUGGGGAGCAAACAGGAUUAGAUACCC
rnacentral:rRNA from 1 species